UGACUCUGGUUUCUUCAUAACGCAUUACAAAAGUUCUUCGCCUUUACUAAAGACUUCCGUGGGAGAGGAACAAACAGUUAGAGUUGAAUAUAUUUUUGGCAGGCUUUUGUUGUAGGCUG